rnacentral:rRNA from 1 species
UACGUAGGGUGCGAGCGUUAAUCGGAAUUACUGGGCGUAAAUCGUGCGCAGGCGGUUUUGUAAGCCAGAUGUGAAAUCCCCGGGCUUAACCUGGGAAUGGCAUUUGGGACUGCAAGGCUUGAGUGCGGCAGAGGAGACUGGAAUUCCUGGUGUAGCAGUGAAAUGCGUAGAUAUCAGGAGGAACACCGAUGGCGAAGGCAGGUCUCUGGGCUGACACUGACGCUCAUGCACGAAAGCGUGGGGAGCAAACAGG